rnacentral:rRNA from 1 species
ACGCCGCGUGAGCUGAUGAAGGUCUUUCGGAUCGUAAAGCUCUGUUGUCAGGGAAGAACAAGUACCGUUCGAAUAGGGCGGUACCUUGACGGUACCUAACCAGAAAGCCACGGCUAACUACGUGCCAGCAGCCGCGGUAAUACGUAGGUGGCAAGCGUUGUCCGGAAUUAUUGGGCGUAAAGGGCUCGCAGGCGGUUUCUUAAGUCUGAUGUGAAAGCCCCCGGCUCAACCGGGGAGGGUCAUUGGAAACUGGGGAACUUGAGUGCAAAAAAGGAAAGUGGAAUUCCACGUGUACCGGUGAAAUGCGUAAAGAUGUGGAGGAACACCAUUGGCGAAGGCGACUCUCUGGUCUGUAACUGACGCUGAGGAGCGAAAGCGUGGGGAGCGAACAGGAUUAAAUACCCUGGUAGUCCACGCCGUAAACAAUGAGUGCUAAUUGUUAGGGGGUUUCCGCCCCUUA